GGAAGUUGGCGGCGGCGGCUUCUUCCUGCUCCGGCGGCGCCGGCCCUCAGCCUCCUGCUGGCGGUGACAGCGACAGCGCGGCCAGAGCGCCGCCGCGCCGCGGUGCACCAUGGGAAGGCGCCCGGAGGACCGGCGGGGCGAGGAGCGGAGCCGCGCUGAGCACAGCGCCCGCAGGGUUACGCGCGGGUCAGCGGGCGGGAGCGCGCCCCCGAGCCGGGCGCGGUCACCGAGGGCGGGCUGCGCGCUGCGCUGCUCCUCUUCGCUUCCAUUCGCGGUUUCCUUCCCGCUGAAGGUGCGUGGAGAAGAGGUGUCGUCAGUGCCUCGCUGCCAGCGGAGACGUUACGGCGAUGCUGGAGGGAGCAACGCCGCAGUUCCCCUCUCCCCGCUGGGACCCAGCCGGCAACGUGCACGGAGGGGCGGCGGCCAGAAGUCCCAGCCCUCCGUGAUCGCCGUGUCCUCCACAACCCCAAAUGAUCUGGGGAACGACCAGAGGCCGCAUCUCCCUCACGUGCAGCCGUUCCUCGGAACAGCUCUGCACCCGAAGCGCCUGCACCUGCACGGCUCUAUGUUCCGGCUCCUCACACAGCCCUCAGCUUCACCCGUGGAGGGCUUCGCCAUGGCCGUUCUCGGCACUGGCGGGGCCGCACCUCAAGUGCUGGGUUCCGUGCUGGGCCCCUCGCUACAUGAAAGAUAUCAAGGCCCUGGAACCUGUCCAGAGAAGGGCAGCGGAGCUGUGAAGGGUCUGGAGAACGCAUCUUAUGGGAAGCGGCUGAGGGAGUGGCAUUGUUCAGUCUGGGGAAGAGGAGGCUCAAGGGAGACCUUGUUGCUCUCUGCAACUCCCCGAAGGGAGGUUGUGGCGAGGUGGUCGGCCUCUUCUCCCAGCUUGCAUGCCCACUGGGACUCAACCAGCAGCACGCGUGAAGGGACGGCGGCCAUGGGAUGCCUCAGUGUCCAGCCAGAAAUCUCAAAUCAGCAGACCGUCAUCUCUGUGAUCAUGGUGUUCUCCAUGACUGCAAAGGAUGUGAGGAACCGCUGGAGGCCAAAUCUUCCACAGAUGUGGCCGUUCCUCAGGACAGCUCUGCACCCAAAGCAUCCACACCUCCACAACUUCUGUGUCGUGGUUCCUCAUGCGGCCUCCAGCUUCGUUCUCUUCUAGGGCUUACAAACACUCCUCUGUUUCUCUAAAUAAAGUCUUUAGCCCAGAACCGCGCUUAAACACGUGCUUAACUAAAUUGCUUGAUGUCACUUGCUUAUAAUUAAGCAUGUGCUUAAGUGCUUUCCUGGAUCAAAGCCAAAAUCCACGUAAGCUCUAUUGGGUGAAAUUUACCAGCUUCACAGGGCUUAGCUUUGUGAGUCACUCAAUCAGCAGCAGCCCAAAGCGUUUUGCCAGAGGCUGGGUUGUUCCCAGGUUGUCCUACAGGAUCGCCCUGUCCCCACCACAAGGCUUACACCCUUCGUCAGGUCCUGUUAGGAUGAGGAUGCAUCUGCCUGGUGAGUCAGCAGUGCUAAAUUACUUCAUGUAGGGCUUCUAGUUCUUUUAACGACAUGCCUUAAUAAGAGUCUGCAGCCCUAUGCAGGUCAUAGAUGGUGCCAUGCAGUUAUGGUGUAAUAAGCUGCAUUAAGAAAGAGUUGAUGACAUGAAGACCCAGUUUGAAGAUCUGCCCUGACUUUGUGCAAUAAGUAUAUUUCAAAAUAAUUGCACUGGCUCUGCAUGAACAGAGGAAGGAGUUAAUAAAACGCAGCUACAGUUCAUGCAGUCAUUUAGUUUUACAUGAAUACAAGAAGUGACAUUAACCUGCUUGCUGAAUAAUCACAGAAUCACACACAGUAUCUUCAGGGGUCUCUGGAGAUCACCUGGUCCAACCCUCUACUAAAGCUUUUUAAUUUCCAAAAAUAGAGUUUUAGAAACCGAAGGAAGAUGUACAUUUAUGCAGCUUGAUUUCUUUUUCUCUUCAAAGACAAUUACUUUGGUGACUCCAUUCAUUUAUACCUGUCAAAAAAAAAAAAAGCCAACACCUUUUGAAUUUCAUUAAGUCUGAGUCAAGGAGCUCAGCACUAAAACCUUCUUUUAAAACACAUGGAGCAAUGACAGCUUUCUGCAGGGCGAGCACAAGCCUUCCUCCGGGGAUGCAUCGAUUGGAACCUGCUUUUCAAACAUUUUGUUUAGCAAUUAAUAGUACAAUAUGAAGAAGACUGCUGUAUUUAAAGCAAAGAAGUAACACUCAGCAUAUUUGGUUUCUGUACAUUACCAAUCCUCUGUGACUUUAAGCAAGACGUGCUCCGAUUUUCACAUGUCAGUUUUUUUGUUGUUUUAAGAGGAACUGAGCACCUACAGCAGUGAGAAUCUGAUCGUGCAGAAACUAUGAGAAAUAGGAACCGUAAAUAGACUUUAUAUUGAAAGAGCGGCUCUCGGGAUUCUUUGGAGAAUUUGUGUUUUAAAAGGUCUUAAACAGGCAGCAGCUUCAGAAAUAAUGGCAUAGAGCAAGGAGAAUCAUCCUGUUUUCCUUCCUGCAUGACAAACUGAAGGUCUUCAGUCAGGAAUUUCUGCAGCCAGCUACUAGCUUCUAGCAAAGCCGAAGCUGCUCUGGGAUGAAAUUUCCAUGCUUGCUUUCUGUCCUUCCUUACGUAAAACAAGGAUAAAACUCACUCAUUUCCUCCCCUUCCCCACACAGAUGUGGGGACUCAGCUAAUAGUCCCACUCUUUCAAACACACACAACUGGUGAAAAAAUGCAAAUAUGCCAUUUAAUUGCAUAGCUAUCAAAUGCCUUCCUCAGUUUCACUCCUCCUAAAUCUGCUGUAGCCCUAGUUAAUGUUAGCUUGUGCAAGCGAUACAAUGAAGGAUGCUUUAGAAGGGCCUAGGUGAACACUUGAUGUUUCAACAUUAGCUGUCAUCCGGAACCAAUUGCUAGUAAAAGCUUGAAAAUCUUCCAUCCAGUUUUUCAAUUCAAAUGUCUCACCAGGGAUUUAACUAGCACAAAUACUCAAUGCAGAAAAUUAAAUGAGUCCAUUGUGUGAAUAUCCACUCACGUUAUCUGUAAAUUGCUCCUCUUUAUUUCAACAUCCCUCAUUGAAUUUGUGUUUUAAUCUUUUAUAUAUAUAAUUUUUUUUUUUUGUCUUACAGCCGGCUUUCAGUCCAUUAUCCCAUGGAAGCCUGACUCAACUGGGUGAGACUGCACUGCCCUGUAUUGCUGGCAGAUCAGGAAUCAAUGGUAACCAGUCACACGGUGGUAUGAAUCAUUUAAGGUUUUGCAGUCUCAUAAUUGAAAAGAUCAGAGUUACCCUCCUUUCACUGAAGACAAAAUGCAAUGAAAAGAUGGAGCGUCUUGACAUAGGUCUGUGGACCAGCCAUCUCAAGGAGACUGGGAACUCCAGAAGAUUCAAAGAAGAGCAACAAGGGCAAGGAUCAAGGUCAUGGCAAUUCACAAAAGAUGGAAAAGACUGGGAUUGUUAUCUUCAGAGAAAAACAAGAGAGCCAGAAUAAAAAGGGCAUGAAGUAACAUCUGGUGCAGGCUGAUCAGGAACUUCUGUUCUUCCUGUGUAGAAUAAAGGUACAUUCUCUGGACUAUCAAACUGAAGGUGGAAUAGUCAAAAUUGAGCAGAAAAAAACACACAAGAGACUAAAAUAUGCUGUGGUUCAUCCAAAGCAUUGAUGCUGAAUCAAAGGGACUCAGAAAGAAAAUUGGUUACCAACCUAAGUACAUGAGACACCUUGAAGUUCACAAUUCUGCAUGCUCUUCAGCUUGUCUGACACCACACUCUGCUGUCCCUCCCAGGCCCUUUUCAGCUGUGAUCAGCGUCCCUCCAGAGCUGUUCUUUAGCUAAAUAACAAGAGGAAGGACAUGCAACCUUGUGCCAACCAGACACUGUGCUCCUACUGGAGCAAGGUCUGGGGCAGAAGCCAGCAAACCUACCCCAGUGCUGCCCCUCUAUGCCACAAGGAAUGCUCAUUUUCAUGGGGACAGCAUUCGUGCCAGCCAGCUGAGGACUGGCUGGUCCUACUUGGCCAUUGUGGAAAGAAUGGAGGACAGAUCUGAAAACAGAGCUUGUGUGUGUUUUUGUGUGUCUUGUUUAGCCAAUAACGAACAGUGACCAAUGAGGACAGCACUGACAGCAUCUAUGAAGAGAGGGGCAAAGGUCUUCACUGUAAAGUCUUAUCCAAAGCUAACUUGGUGAACAAAUCUACUUACUACUGAAUAACUCCAACCAUUAAACUUCCAACCAGUUACACAUUUCAGGGAGUGCCAAUGAAGAGCUGAACUUGAAGGGGGAUCCUAGAACAAGAGCCAAGAGUUCAAGGUCACGUCAGAGGCACAUCAGCAGUUUUGCCAAAAAUUUGUUUAAAACACAAGACAAACGUCAAGAGUCCAGCAAUUACCAGGAAGAAACAUGGUGUCAUGUGCACAUUAAGAAAAACUUGACCUUUGAAAUGCUAAUACAUUGACUUUUAUACCUGGAAAGAGGUCCCUCCUCAGCUCCUCUCCAUUGCUCCAGCUGGUAAGGAAGGGUACUGUCUUUCUGUAGAUAAUCUCAGUAGGAGCAGCAGUUGUUUUUUUUUCCACCAUUAGAACUAGCGAUGUAGCAACAACAGAUUAUUUUCAGCUGAUAGCACCAAUACAAUUUUCAAACCAUACAUGACUUCCAACCAGCUCAACAGCAGAGCCCCAUCUCUGCUCAUCACAGCUUGCAGAGAACAUACUGAUUACUGCCUGCCUGGGAAAUCCAGGAAGCCCAACUGAGCCUCAGGGACAACGUGAAGAUGAAAGUGGUCAGAAGGACAUCAAAACGGUUUGACUGUGGGCUGGGGAUACCCCAGACAAUGAAGACUGUUUGGUAAGUACUGCUUUCCAUCUGCAAAGCAGAUGAGGGUUCAAUGCUGAGGAUAAUUUAAGAGUCAAAUGUGCGAGCAAAAAUGACUUGUAAUAAAUAAAGCCAUGUUUCUUUGUAAAGAGAA